rnacentral:rRNA from 1 species
CCUACGGGAGGCAGCAGUGAGGGAUAUUGGUCAAUGGGCGCGAGCCUGAACCAGCCAAGUAGCGUGAAGGAUGACUGCCCUCCGGGUUGUAAACUUCGUUUAUAAAGGAAUAAAGUGAGGCACGUGAGCCUUUUUGUAUGUACAUUAUGAUGCAGGAUCGGCUAACUCCGUGCCAGCAGCCGCGGUAAUACGGAGGAUCCGAGCGUUAUCCGGAUUUAUUGGGUUUAAAGGGAGCGUAGGUGGGUCGUUAAGUCAGUUGUGAAAGUUUGCGGCUCAACCGUAAAAUUGCAAUUGAUACUGGCAGUCUUGAGUAAAGUUGAGGCAGGCGGAAUUCGCGGUGUAGCGGUGAAAUGCUUAGAUAUCACGAAGAACACCGAUUGCGAAGGCAGCUUACUAAGCUGCAACUGACAUUGAUGCUCGAAAGUGUGGGUAGCAAACAGGAUUAGAUACCCCGGUAGUC